UUUAAUCAGACAUCAGUAAAUGUUAAAUUCUACUGCUGAAACCAUCGUGCUGAUGACAUUGAGAAUACACUCAGAAGCAGCGGCCGCAGUCGCAGUAACAACACCAAAGAAACAUCACAUUUAUUAAUCAUGUAUCCGUCAAUAAAAAAAAUGUCAGAGAAACAAAAGCAAAAUACUCAAACAAAUAUUAAAUAAGCUAUUGUUGUUAGGCCUGUCACAGGGUUAAUUGAAGGUUUAGAUACAGUAAAAGAAAUCAGUUAGUGGUUUUCCUGAGCACAGUAUAACUCAACAUCUUCAAAGCAGAACGGAAAUCCACCAUUACGCACAGCAAGAAAGGAACAGCGCACGACACACAUGUGCUUGGCAUCGUCUCAUUCAGUAUUGUAAACACACACAGUAUAGAAAAUAAAGUGAAUGAUAAAACUCAUUCCUCAUACCAGCUGACUUGGUCUAUAAAGAUAAGGCAAGAUGAUCUUACACAUUAUUGAGCCAACUUCACACCGUCAGCACAGUCAUCAAGGGACAAAACUAGAGCAGUAUUUCCUGUGAAUUGUCCUCAAAAAAUUGUAAAACUCCAACAAAAUAAUUUGCCGAUUGUGAGGCAUCAGUCUAUAAAAACUGAACUGCUGAUGAGCGUGUGCCAUGGGUUGAUUUAAGAAAAGCAAAAAUGACAAGAGCAUCUGUAAGCAGCUAGAACAUCCAAAUACUUUGUUUGCAGUUUUUCACGAUCUUAAAGUCUUUCAUUUAUAACACCGAUCCAACAAAAAUACUACAUUCAUGUCUUGUGUCGAUGUCAUGGCGUUACAAUACGUAAUAAAAGUCAAUCAAGACAUGCAAUCAAUCAAGUUUGAUUUGUCAAAUGU